GUAAAUUGUCAGGUGAACUAAGCUCUUCCAAGUUUGAACUAAGCUCUUCCAAGUUCCAAGUGUCAGGGACAAUAUUUCCUAUUUGGGUUUGGAACCUAACCAUUGGCAGUACAAUAAUGCUAGACCAGAUGAUGCAGGGGACCUUUUACAUGCUCAGUGGGAAAGGCACAGCUACAAAACCUAUGCAAUGAUACCACAAUAUAAGAGUUUAGCCAACAUUUUGACACAACAAUCCCAAAUUCUUCCAUACAGUUACUAUGGCUUCCCCAAGUUUUCCUCUUCCAGUUUAUUUAGAAUCUCCUCAACAUUUUUAAUAAAAUAAAUUUUCAGUCACUAUGACUUCUCCUUUUGGUCUUCUGGCUUAUGCAAAUUCAUACUUUGAUUUUGUUACAGUAAAAUGCCUUUUUAUAGCCAUGGAAGCAUCUUUUGGUAGCCAGGGAAAUCAACUUUAUGUCACAUUUUAGGAUCGUUUCCAUUAUUGCAAUUAUAUUCUGACCCAUUGCUUCACAUCUUUUAUCUGUUGCUUCAAUUUCAUGUCUGAAGCCUGUUUGAUAAAAAGCUACUCUGUUUCACGGUGCAAGACAUUAAUUCCAUUAUAGUGGCUUCAUCACUGCACAUGGUGUCUUCAAUUCCAUGCACAAAAGGUGUUUGAUCCAUUGUUGCAAUUGCACAGUCUACACAAGUAUGGUUUGACUGUUGUAGCGGACAUAUUAUGGCCUGCUUUGCCACCAAUAUAUUCAAGAGAUCAAGAUUAGUUUUCGCUGCCCCAUCUAAACGUG
rnacentral:misc_RNA from 1 species